CCGGUCGUGGUCGAGCGGCACCAGGUAGCCGAGCUUGAUGAGCUGGGUGAGCUGGACGCUGUUGGUGAAGACCAUCAGGUCGUAGUCGAUCGACUGCCC
rnacentral:tRNA from 1 species